UGACACCCAUCUUUUGGGUUGUGGACAACUACACCCACUGCCUGGGACCGUUCUUUGUGAUCGGAGUGGCUUGUCUGACCACUGCCGUCGUCAGCAUUGCCUAUUGGAUUGGUUUCCCCUUUUGGUUGGCUAUGGAGCUUCACUGGAGAGAGCCCAAUGGAGAGAGCGAUAAAGAACCUUGCGAUCUAUCGUCAUCCUUACAUAUUAAAAUAUGUGACCACAUGGGACCAGUCGGGACAAAAGCAUCUUGCCACGGAGAGAGUCAGGCCACUUAACGACGU